AUUCUGCUUUGGCACUGCCCAGAGCUAAAAGAACCCUUUUUUGUGAGUUGUCAGUGAAAAGCUCAAUAAAACCUAAUUCCUGCCUACUGUCUUUCUAUGUCACUUUAACAAUGUCAGUACACUAAUAAUUAAUUACUAUGUUGUUCAUAUAGUUGUUUCAAAUGGAAGAUGAAAAGUUGGGUAUGUGUGCAAAAUACUCAUAUGAUUUGUUUUCUUCUUUGGGGGAAAAAUCUAGCAAAGGUCAUCUCAGCUCACUGGGAGCCUGAUAUACAGCAGAUAAAAAUUUUCAGUAUGAUUUCAUGCCUGUCACAGCCCCUGUAUUGGUCUGUAUUUAUAGAAUAUUUCAAAGUUGUGUUCAUUUCUAUCCGAGUCAGAUUGUGGUGAAGGCUUUGCUCUUAAUAACAGAAUGAGUCUGCCAAGUUCCUUAUAAAGGAGGAAAUGGCAGGAGUGCUUUUAACCUACUUUGAACAAAUUGCAUUGGCUGACAGUCAAAUAUCAUAUUGAUUUUAACAUUGCUUGCUUUAUAAUUUGCUACAUGUUUCUAGUCCAGCAUAUCUCCCUGACCUUCUUAUACCCCUGUGUUAUGGGCGGUUUCAGAUUUACUGAGGUAUGAACCUAGCUUGUUUUAAUGAUGGAGUAUGCAUUGGCUCCUGCUGAAAAGACACAAAAGAUGUCUUCUGAUUUGUUUCUUUUUCUUUCUUUCUUCUUCUUUGUUCAUUUUUUAAUUUUGUUGUUGUUGUUUUCCUCAUUUCUUCAUGCUAUGCUGUUGACAGUUUUGGAUAUAUGCAUGAUUUUGGGAUCUCAAGUAAUGUAAAUGGCUCAGUUAUAAAUUUCAAAAGUAUUCUUUUUACUUCUGGCUUGUAUCACAAAUGUCAAAUAUUGUAACCUGUGUUUAGAUUCACUGAGUGACCAAAGCAAAAGUUAAAGGGUUUUUCAGGUAAUAGCUGUCUUUUGGAACAGUGAAUCAGAGCACACUGAGAGAUAGUUAUCUAUCUUAAUUUCAUACAUCUAAAAUACAGCUUUGUAUCUAACCUCACAAAGCCAGUUUCAACAAGUCCAUGGAAGGGAAUCAUGACUCCAGAAGGCAAUUCAUAACUUUUUAUGCACUUGUCUAAGAAUGAGAAAAAUUACUCCUUCUGUCUGCCUCUCACUCACUUGCAGGUCUGUUUAGACUACACAUAUGAACUUAAAAGAGAUGAUUCUCACCUUUAAAGCACCAGUGAUCCACUGAAAUCCAUUUUUGGUCUUUAAACUGUAGUAUAUGCUACAGCUCUUUGUUCUUAUUUUUCUUAAUUGGAUUCUUUUAGAGGAUAUAUUUCUUCAAAAGGUAUUUGCUUUAUUGAGUUAUGAGUAGCACUACACCUAAGAAGUCAGCAUACUUUUGAGAUACAAUU
ensembl:lncRNA